CGAACGCUGGCGGCAGGCCUAACACAUGCACGUCGAACGGAUCCUUCGGGAUUAGUGGCGGCCGGGUGAGUAACACGUGGGAACGUGCCCUUUGGUUCGGAACAACUCAGGGAAACUUGAGCUAAUACCGGAUGUGCCCUUCGGGGGAAAGAUUUAUCGCCAUUGGAGCGGCCCGCGUCUGAUUAGCUAGUUGGUGAGGUAACGGCCCACCAAGGCGACGAUCAGUAGCUGGUCUGAGAGGAUGAUCAGCCACACUGGGACUGAGACACGGCCCAGACUCCUACGGGAGGCAGCAGUGGGGAAUCUUGCGCAAUGGGCGAAAGCCUGACGCAGCCAUGCCGCGUGAAUGAUGAAGGUCUUAGGAUUGUAAAAUUCUUUCAGCGGGGACGAUAAUGACGGUACCCGCAGAAGAAGCUCCGGCUAACUUCGUG
rnacentral:rRNA from 1 species